rnacentral:rRNA from 1 species
GUAGUCAUAUGCUUGUCUCAAAGAUUAAGCCAUGCAUGUCUAAGUAUAAGCAACUAUACGGUGAAACUGCGAAUGGCUCAUUAAAUCAGUUAUCGUUUAUUUGAUAGUACCUUACUACAUGGAUAACCGUGGUAAUUCUGGAGCUAAUACAUGCUAAAAACCUCGACUUCGGAAGGGGUGUAUUUAUUAGAUAAAAAACCAAUACCCUUCGGGGCUCCUUGGUGAUUCAUAAUAACUCAACGAAUCGCAUGGCCUUGCGCCGGCGAUGGUUCAUUCAAAUUUCUGCCCUAUCAACUUUCGAUGGUAGGAUAGUGGCCUACCAUGGUCUCAACGGGUAACGGGGAAUG